rnacentral:rRNA from 1 species
AGUGAACGCUGGCGGUGGGCCUAACACAUGCUAGUCGAACGGCAGCACAGUAAGAGCUUGCUCUUACGGGUGGCGAGUGGCGGACGGGUGAGGAAUACAUCGGAAUCUACUUUUUCGUGGGGGAUAACGUAGGGAAACUUACGCUAAUACCGCAUACGACCUACGGGUGAAAGCAGGGGAUCUUCGGACCUUGCGCGAUUGAAUGAGCCGAUGUCGGAUUAGCUAGUUGGCGGGGUAAAGGCCCACCAAGGCGACGAUCCGUAGCUGGUCUGAGAGGAUGAUCAGCCACACUGGAACUGAGACACGGUCCAGACUCCUACGGGAGGCAGCAGUGGGGAAUAUUGGACAAUGGGCGCAAGCCUGAUCCAGCCAUACCGCGUGGGUGAAGAAGGCCUUCGGGUUGUAAAGCCCUUUUGUUGGGAAAGAAAAGCAGCAGGUUAAUACCCCGCUGUUCUGACGGUACCCAAAGAAUAAGCACCGGCUAACUUCGUG